rnacentral:rRNA from 1 species
UUAGGAAUAUUGGACAAUGGGCGCAAGCCUGAUCCAGCCAUGCCGCGUGAGCGAUGAAGGCCUUCGGGUUGUAAAGCUCUUUAGCCGACGAAUAUAAUGACUGUAGUCGGAGAAUAAGCCCCGGCUAACUUCGUGCCAGCAGCCGCGGUAAUACGAAGGGGGCGAGCGUUAUUCGGAAUCACUGGGCGUAAAGCGUGCGUAGGCUGUUCGGAAAGUUGGGAGUGAAAGCCCAGGGCUCAACCCUGGAAUUGCUCUCAAAACUACCGGACUUGAAUUUGGGAGAGGAUAGCGGAAUUGUCAGUGUAGCAGUGAAAUGCGUAGAUAUUGACAGGAACACCAGUGGCGCAAGCGGCUAUCUGGACCAACAUUGACGCUGAGGCACGAAAGCGUGGGGAUCAAA